UGGAGACUAUUGCUUUUCUUUCAAAGAGAGCCAUCCAGGUGGUCCUCCACAGUGAUUGAGAGUAUCUGUGGGGAGGAUAGAAGCUUCUGGAAGGAGAAAGGAAGAUAUUUAACAAGAAUGAAGAAAGGGGUAGAGACAUCCUUGCUGGACAUCGCCGUUUUGGCUAACCUAGGCUGCAGAUUGAGCAGUGGGCCUAGGAGAAUGAAAACCACAAUGAGGAGGAGACAGCUACCUUGGCCUCUUGUCUGAGCUAUUCUUACCUAAAGCAAUUUUAUCCUUGGGACUCGGGGGAAACUUUCCAGUACCAAUUGCUGAGGAAUACGCAGCUCAAAUGGCAUAAUUUCUGAUAUCUUCCAAUUCGCUGGGUUGGCAAUCUGGGUGGCCCUUCAGUUGGUUCUACCUGGGGUCACUCGCAUAGCUAUUGUUCCCUAACAGCUGACUGGGGCUGCUGGGCCUAGUGACCUUAAACUGGUGCCUCAACUGUCUACAGUAUACCUUCCCACCCUCUAGGAGGCCAGACGGCGCUUCUUCACUGCAUGGAGGUUCUGAGGUGGUGAGAGCUGAAGCUUCGAGUCCUCUUAAGGCCCAGGUGUUGGAACAUAUGUGACAUACUUCUGCCCAAUUCUCUGUCAGUACCAACUGAGAAGCAGCCACAGACUAAGCAGCUUUGUUCUUCCAUGCCCUUCUGCCACGAAGUUUCUGCCUUGGAGACUUCUAACCGUGGACUGACUACCUAGAAACUGUGAGUCAAAUAUCCCUUUCCUUUUUAAACUUUCGGGUGUUGGGUAUCGCGCCCCAGCAACAGGAAAGCUGACAAAUACAGGCACUGACUCUUUCCCACCUUGAAACUGCUCCUCCAGUCUUUCUCCUUAAUCCCAUUCUGGCUUUUCUUCUGGGUCUGGCUGUGAUAGUCCCAGACACUAGGCCUUCCUCUUCUCUUCCCUCUAUCUUUGGUUUUCCACAUGCAUUUCUUUUCCCUAGAAGAGUCUUUCAGCUUUCUCUGAUGGAAUCCCCCCUUCUGAAUCCUUCUCAUCAUUGUUUAGUUGUUGACAUUUGAUGCAGUAUAAUUAUUUCUCAUGGAGCUGUCAUGUAUACGGAAGAUACCCAGAGGUAGCUGUGACCUGCAUCUCUUAUAUACCAGUAGACUACUCCCUAUCUGAAAUAACGCAAAGUGUCCUCAGAUGUUGUCAAGUGUCCCCCAGGAGGCAGAAGCAUCCCCAGUGGAGAAGGCCACUAUGCCAGUCUAUAUAAUAAAGGCACCAGGAGAGUAGGACGGGUGCUCAAUGUUGGCUUCAAAUGAGUCAAAAAUAUCCCUGUACUUAAUAACGUGUGUCUCUCAAAGUGUCAUGACCAGCAGUAUAGUCAGGAGAGGACAGCUGUCUCCAACAUGAGUUAAAUUACUUGUGCUGUGCUCCAGCCUGAGAGAAACACAGGAAGCUAACAGGAGUAAUCACCUAGCACUGUGGAUCCCACCUUGAGUUCAAGUUUGAGAUCUGCCACUUGUUAUCAGAUUCCACAGGUCUAGGCUGGGCUGUGAGUAGUUUCAAAGGCUUUGCAUGUGUUUCCCAUGUGUCCAACUGCUUAAGAACCUCAUUAGUGUACCUUUGACUGUGGUCCAGGACCACGUAGAGAUCUGUAUCCCAAUUACUAUUUAAUAAACUGGAAUCUAUCAUAUUGAGGGCCUAGAGAUUUUCAUUUUAAAGACAUCCUAACAUUUGGCUUUAAUAAGGACAAUAAAAAAUUAGAAAUUAUUUCUAGAUACCAGACAAUAAUAAGCUUUCCAGGUUUUUUUCAUAUUGGUGACAUGGUAUUAUUAUUGCUAUGCCCAUUUGAAAGAUGAAGAAACUGAGGCUCAUGGUAAUUGUGUGACUUUCUCCCAGGCCUGGUAUGUUUGGAAAGCCAGGGUCCAAUCCAAGGAGUAUGCCUGUAGAGUCUUAGUUCCUAACCAUUGUACAUUCUACCUCCUCUUGGAACACCGACUUCUGAGAGCAUUGAGAUUUGAAUGAUUUCUGACUCCUGACACCUUGCAAAUUUUCAGAUUAAUUACAUUUUUCCAAGCCAUUUGCCUGUACCUGUAAACAGUGAUGGCUUUGUGAAAAAGCAAUUUUGGAAGUGGUACUAAGGCAAAAGAUGCAUUCAAUGAAAUCAAUAUGAGAAGAACUUGGCUUCUGACCAUGAGCAGCCUUUUUAUUAAGCAUCUUUCUCCAGGCUAUCACGGCUAAUUCAUUGCCAUAUUUCAUUAGAGGAACUAACUACAAGGUUAUAAGUAAAUACUUUUCCAUCAGAAGGAACAGUUAAUUGGAAGUUUGAUGAUGAAUGUUUCCGAUUUAAUGCUGAUUGAUUGUGCAUUCCGAGAAAGCACGUGGAGUUUUGUACCCUCCUUUCCUCUUUUCUUUUCUCCUAGGGGGCAGUUUCAAACAGCCAAAUACAGAAGGGGCAUUUGUUUUGGUUCUCUUUAUUAAUGUUUUAUCUGUUCAGGAUAAAUCACAGAGAACGAACAACAGGCUGAGCAUUUGCAAGAAGAGUUCACAAAAUAAAGUCAAAUUUAGAAAUAAUUUGGUUACAUCAUGUCUAGUAUUACUGACAAUAUUCAGACAAUGUAAUUCCUAUUACACCUGCUUAUAGAAGAAAAAAAACCAUUCAGUCAGUAACCCUAAAUUAAAUUAACGUUUUCAGUGUAUAUAAUUUGUUGCUCAGAAUGAAAUAUAAUUAUCAUUUAGGGAGAGCCAUAUGGAAGGCAUUACCAGCCUUCACUAAGUCUUGGGUUUUAAUAGUGAUCCGUGACUCAGACUACUUUAUCCAAACAGGUUGUAAAUUCUGAGCAGAGCAAGAUGCAUUUCAGUCAUUUUUAUAUUAAUUCUGAAUGAGGAAUUCAUUGUCUUUCCAAAUUAUAAUAUAUUAGAGAGCAAUUUCCCACUAAACAAAUCAAGGACGCUGAAAAAUUAGCUCUCUGGGAGCUGUUUUCUACAUCCUAUUUUAAAUCUCUCUCUCUCUCUCUCUCUCUCUCUCUCUCUCUCUCUCUCUCUGGGAUGGUUUUAUUAUUCUCAGUGUGUAUAGUAAUAGACAUCUGUAUUGCCAUCUGUAUUCUCUUCUUUAAAGUGGAAAGUGAACUCUGAAAAAUGUUAACUGUUCAAUAUAAUUUCAUUCCGGGCAGAGUCUGGAGCCUGCAAUGAGAGCUCACAUUUAAGAACCUUAAUUAAUAUUUAGAACAUCAUCUCCCAUAGCUACAACAUUUCUCUCUCAAAGAUGCUCUUCUUGGGGAACCACAACCGUAAGUCAUGGGAAGGGCAAGGAUUCACUUAAUUUGUACCUUGUGGGUGCUCAAAUGUCUUCAGAAUUCAUGGGUCUGUUAUAUCAAUCUAAGAUUUAGAUGCAUAUACAUAAUCUUGUAGAAUAGAAGGGAAAUGGUAAUAAUACAGAACUCCAUUGAAAAGCAAAGCAGGGAGAAAAAAACCAAGACCAGAAGCAUGUUUUAAGAAAUGUUUGCUUUGCAUUCUCAAAAUCUACUUCUCCUGUCCUCUUUUUUUGUCCUUUAUGCAUAUAUGUGGGGAGAUUGUUAUAUGAUAUGUGCUGGUAUUUCUCAUUCAACCAAUCCGGCAAGCCUUUUGAUUCACUGUAAAGAUUAACUUGGUCUCUGUUUGGUUUAUCUGGACCUAGGACUUUCUGUGCAAUGCUUAUUUUUGUGGCUAUUGACAAUGCAAAUUUCUGGCUCUGUUUCACAAUACCUGACUUAUAAAAAUGAAUUAGGAACUUACUAUCUGAUGGGCUGCAGUUUCUCUGAGGAAGAGGUGCUGGUGGACACUAAGACCAAAACACCCUCAUGUUGAAGAAGAAUUUGUCCAGAGGAUCUCAGGAAGAAGUUUAUUGAAUUUUAAAGGAUUUCUCUGAGGUUGCCCUGGUAUUUCUCUAAGGUCAUUCACUUGGCAGGAUCUGCACCUGGGUUGGUCACUGGACACUAGAAUAUUUCAACUCCAUGGUUCCCAAGAUGGGAUAAAUCAAUUGACAGAUGUAUGACAUGAAACUACCAGCCAAGUGACUUAUCUCCCAUGGACUUGUCCUCUUUUGUAGUCUGAAGGCAGUCUUAAUCCAACUUUAAAGUUGGAUUAAGAGGACAGAAAGCCAGGAAGAAGAGUUUUUAUAAGGAACAUAAGUAACUGUCACCAUGUAAAAAUUUUCUGUACUGUUUCCCUACUAAAACCAAUCCUCCCAGUGUAUGUCAAAAUGAACGCAAACAGCCUUCUUCAAUUAAAUGGUGAAAGUUGUCUUUAUACCAAGAACAGCUAAAUCCAAAGCCAAGUCACAGACGGUCAUGGAAAUCAUCUGUAAAGCCAUGCUGGUACUAAGGUUCUAUCGCAGACACAAACCAGAAAGUCAUAGUUUCAACCAAGCAUGAACAUGGCUGGGUAGUAGCAGAAUCUUGCAGAGGGGUCCCAGCGGCUUCAAACAAAGAUCAUGAGAAAAUUCACGGUAGAUCUUCAUCAAGGUUUCUUGAAAGCCAGGAUCAUGGUGUCUUUAGUGUAAAACUUCUAACAAGUCGUGCUCCAGGGUCAGCCACAUGGUCUUGCAUUUUCUUCAACCCACAAAGUGACAUAUUUGCAACAAAUGUAGUCAGAGUGGCAGGAAGGAUCUGAGCAGAGAGCUUUGGUCCAGAAAAUGUCCCUUGAUGGGGCCAAGUCUGCAGAAGUGCAAUGGUUUGGUACCAAGCCGCUGCCACGCAAGGAAAAUCCCAAGCAGCUGUGUAUGCCCCCCCCCGCAAGCCCCCAGGCGGAAUAAACAGCCUCCAUCUCCUCUGCUGGGCUGCAGGAACAGUCUCCACGUUUGUUCUGCUUCCUCCUGGGCCCCAUCCCCAGGCCCCAGACAAGGGUAGCUUUCGUUUCUUCUCUCGCUUGUGGCCUCACUCAAGCAGCCAUUUCACAUGACACAGGAUGCAAACCCAGCGUGAGGUGAAGUGACACAGAGAGCUGAAGAAGAGGGUGUCUUCCAGGAACUCCCAGUCUUGCUGAUGACAACGAAUGUAAAUGUGCAUUGCUGCACAGUUGUGAUUGGUUCCCAGAGAAAAGCAUGCUCGAGUUAUCAUUGACAGGGGGGUAAGAAGGGGAAUUGUACUUAACUUUCCUGAUAAAUUAGUAAGAUGAGGGUCUUUUGUCCAGUGGGGGACACAGGAGGACACUGGCACCAAGUAGGAAUUCUAGAAAAGGCCUUCAGGGUCAGAGUAGACUUUAUAAAUUGUUCAAAGUCAUAUCAGUUAUGUGAUAGAGAUUUCCUUUAUGAGGAGCUUGGGGGUGAGUGGUUUGUGGGAUUUUAAUGGCAUUUGUCUGGCACCAUCAUAAUCUUAACUACCUCCAGGUAGGAAGUUCUUGCACCUGCACUUCUAAUAAUCCCAAAAAAUGUUCCUGCAUGAAAACCAAAUGGUUGGACCAAGGAUGUAGUUUAGUGGGCAUAUUACCCAACUGGCAAGUGCAAGGCCCUGAGUUCGAUUCCUGGUAUCCAAAAAAAGAGGCUGGCUUGCUCAUUCCUGGAAUAGGUCAGCAGAACGUACAUCUAAGCUUGACAUCACAGGUACCUGCAUCUUAGGCAGCCAUGUGUGCUCAUUCUGGGAAGUUGCUCCCGGCACUGUAAAAAAUAUACAAGCUUGUGGCUUGUGCAAAGGAAAUUCAAGAGAGCCAAAAGGAAGAAUGAGUUGCUUUACUCUCUCAACACAAAUUACGCCAGGAGAGUGAGGGCCAUAGAGAUGACCUAUGGAUGGAAGAGUUUGUGGACAUUGUCUAAGUUCUGGGUAGUCCCAAACUACAAUGGUUUAUUAAGGUUGCAUAUUCUUGUGCUUUCCUGACAUUCAGACUCAGCACAUGUUAUGAUUUAGAUCUAAAACGUGCCCCCAAAUCUCAUGUGUUCAGGGGUGGGGCUUUCGGGAGGGGACUGAAUGAUGGGGGUGGAUUACUCACUAGUCGAUUAAUACAUUGAUGAGUUCAUAGCUGACUGUGCUAUCCGAAGGUGGGGCCGGGUUGGAGGUGAUCACUGGAGGUGUGACCUGCAAGGGUGUGUUCUUACCCCAGCUCCUCCUUGCCUUCUCUGCUUCCUGGUCAUCGUGAGUUGAGCAGCUCUCCUUCACCGUGCCCUUCUAUUGUGCUCUUUCUGCCUUGGAGUCAACAUACCAUGGACUGAGCCCCCCAAAACCAUAACUUAAAAUAAAACUUUCCUCCUUUAAAUUGUGGGUGUCAGUAUUUUGUCUCAGUAACAGGAAAGAGACCAAUAUAGCACAUC